UCCAGACUCCUACGGGAGGCAGCAGUGAGGAAUAUUGGUCAAUGGGCGGGAGCCUGAACCAGCCAAGUCGCGUGAGGGACGACGGUCCUAUGGAUUGUAAACCUCUUUUGUCGGGGAACAAAGGCGCCCACGGGUGGGCGGAUGAGUGUACCCGAAGAAAAAGCAUCGGCUAACUCCGUGCCAGCAGCCGCGGUAAUACGGAGGAUCCAAGCGUUAUCCGGAUUUAUUGGGUUUAAAGGGUGCGUAGGCGGAUUGAUAAGUUAGAGGUGAAAUGUCCGGGCUCAACUCGGGAACUGCCUCUAAUACUGUUGAUCUAGAGAGUAGAUGCGGUAGGCGGAAUGUAUGGUGUAGCGGUGAAAUGCUUAGAGAUCAUACAGAACACCGAUUGCGAAGGCAGCUUACCAAUCUAUAUCUGACGUUGAGGCACGAAAGCGUGGGGAGCAAACAGGAUUAGAUACCCCCGUAA
rnacentral:rRNA from 1 species